rnacentral:rRNA from 1 species
GCCCAGACUCCUACGGGAGGCAGCAGUGGGGAAUAUUGCACAAUGGGGGAAACCCUGAUGCAGCGACGCCGCGUGAGUGAAGAAGUAUUUCGGUAUGUAAAGCUCUAUCAGCAGGGAAGAAAAUGACGGUACCUGAUUAAGAAGCCCCGGCUAACUACGUGCCAGCAGCCGUGGUAAUACGUAGGGGGCAAGCGUUAUCCGGAUUUACUGGGUGUAAAGGGAGCGUAGACGGUGAUGCAAGUCAGAAGUGAAAGCCCGGGGCUCAACUCCGGGACUGCUUUUGAAACUGUGUGACUGGAGUGCAGGAGAGGUAAGCGGAAUUCCUGGUGUAGCGGCGAAAUGCGUAGAUAUUAGGAGGAACACCAGUGGCGAAGGCGGCUUACUGGACUGCAACUGACGUUGAGGCUCGAAAGCGUGGGGAGCAAACAGGAUUAGAUACCCGAGUA